UACGUAGGGGGCAAGCGUUGUCCGGAAUUAUUGGGCGUAAAGAGCUUGUAGGCGGUUUGUUGCGUCUGCCGUGAAAGUCCGGGGCUCAACUCCGGAUCUGCGGUGGGUACGGGCAGACUAGAGUGAUGUAGGGGAGACUGGAAUUCCUGGUGUAGCGGUGAAAUGCGCAGAUAUCAGGAGGAACACCGAUGGCGAAGGCAGGUCUCUGGGCAUUAACUGACGCUGAGGAGCGAAAGCAUGGGGAGCGAACAGG
rnacentral:rRNA from 1 species